rnacentral:rRNA from 1 species
GGUUAAGCGACUAAGCGUACACGGUGGAUGCCCUGGCAGUCAGAGGCGAUGAAGGACGUGCUAAUCUGCGAAAAGCGACGGCGAGGUGAUAUGAACCUUUGACCCGUCGAUGUCCGAAUGGGGAAACCCAGUGUGAUUCGUCACACUAUCGUUAACUGAAUACAUAGGUUAACGAGGCGAACCGGGGGAACUGAAACAUCUAAGUACCCCGAGGAAAAGAAAUCAACCGAGAUUCCCCCAGUAGCGGCGAGCGAACGGGGAGCAGCCCGGAGUCUGAAUCAGCUUGUGUGUUAGUGGAAGCGUCUGGAAAGUCGCACGGUACAGGGUGACAGUCCCGUACACGAAAAUGCACAGGUUGUGAACUCGAAGAGUAGGGCGGGACACGUGGUAUCCUGUCUGAAUAUGGGGGGACCAUCCUCCAAGGCUAAAUACUCCUGACUGACCGAUAGUGAACCAGUACCGUGAGGGAAAGGCGAAAAGAACCCCGGCGAGGGGAGUGAAAAAGAACCUGAAACCGUGUACGUACAAGCAGUGGGAGCACCUUCGGGUGUGACUGCGUACCUUUUGUAUAAUGGGUCAGCGACUUAUAUUCUGUAGCAAGGUUAACCGUAUAGGGGAGCCGCAGGGAAACCGAGUCUUAACUGGGCGUUAAGUUGCAGGGUAUAGACCCGAAACCCGGUGAUCUAGCCAUGGGCAGGUUGAAGGUUGGGUAACACUAACUGGAGGACCGAACCGACUAAUGUUGAAAAAUUAGCGGAUGACCUGUGGCUGGGGGUGAAAGGCCAAUCAAACCGGGAGAUAGCUGGUUCUCCCCGAAAGCUAUUUAGGUAGCGCCUCGUGAACUCAUCUUCGGGGGUAGAGCACUGUUUCGGCUAGGGGGCCAUCCCGGCUUACCAACCCGAUGCAAACUACGAAUACCGAAGAAUGUUAUCACGGGAGACACACGGCGGGUGCUAACGUCCGUCGUGAAGAGGGAAACAACCCAGACCGCCAGCUAAGGUCCCAAAGUCAUGGUUAAGUGGGAAACGAUGUGGGAAGGCACAGACAGCCAGGAUGUUGGCUUAGAAGCAGCCAUCAUUUAAAGAAAGCGUAAUAGCUCACUGGUCGAGUCGGCCUGCGCGGAAGAUGUAACGGGGCUAAACCAUGCACCGAAGCUGCGGCAGCGACGCUUAUGCGUUGUUGGGUAGGGGAGCGUUCUGUAAGCCGUUGAAGGUGUGCUGUGAGGCAUGCUGGAGGUAUCAGAAGUGCGAAUGCUGACAUAAGUAACGAUAAAGCGGGUGAAAAGCCCGCUCGCCGGAAGACCAAGGGUUCCUGUCCAACGUUAAUCGGGGCAGGGUGAGUCGACCCCUAAGGCGAGGCCGAAAGGCGUAGUCGAUGGGAAACAGGUUAAUAUUCCUGUACUUGGUGUUACUGCGAAGGGGGGACGGAGAAGGCUAUGUCAGCCGGGCGACGGUUGUCCCGGUUUAAGCGUGUAGGUGUGUGUUCCAGGCAAAUCCGGUUCACUUUAACACUGAGGCGUGAUGACGAGGCACUACGGUGCUGAAGUGAUAAAUGCCCUGCUUCCAGGAAAAGCCUCUAAGCAUCAGGUAACACGAAAUCGUACCCCAAACCGACACAGGUGGUCAGGUAGAGAAUACCAAGGCGCUUGAGAGAACUCGGGUGAAGGAACUAGGCAAAAUGGUGCCGUAACUUCGGGAGAAGGCACGCUGAUAUGUAGGUGAAGUCCCUGCGGACGGAGCUGAAAUCAGUCGAAGAUACCAGCUGGCUGCAACUGUUUAUUAAAAACACAGCACUGUGCAAACACGAAAGUGGACGUAUACGGUGUGACGCCUGCCCGGUGCCGGAAGGUUAAUUGAUGGGGUUAGCGGCAACGCGAAGCUCUUGAUCGAAGCCCCGGUAAACGGCGGCCGUAACUAUAACGGUCCUAAGGUAGCGAAAUUCCUUGUCGGGUAAGUUCCGACCUGCACGAAUGGCGUAAUGAUGGCCAGGCUGUCUCCACCCGAGACUCAGUGAAAUUGAACUCGCUGUGAAGAUGCAGUGUACCCGCGGCAAGACGGAAAGACCCCGUGAACCUUUACUAUAGCUUGACACUGAACACUGGUCCUUGAUGUGUAGGAUAGGUGGGAGGCUUUGAAGCGUGGACGCCAGUCUGCGUGGAGCCGUCCUUGAAAUACCACCCUUUAAUGGCUGGUGUUCUAACGUGGACCCGUGAUCCGGGUUGCGGACAGUGUCUGGUGGGUAGUUUGACUGGGGCGGUCUCCUCCCAAAGAGUAACGGAGGAGCACGAAGGUUAGCUAAUCCUGGUCGGACAUCAGGAGGUUAGUGCAAUGGCAUAAGCUAGCUUGACUGCGAGAGUGACGGCUCGAGCAGGUGCGAAAGCAGGUCAUAGUGAUCCGGUGGUUCUGAAUGGAAGGGCCAUCGCUCAACGGAUAAAAGGUACUCCGGGGAUAACAGGCUGAUACCGCCCAAGAGUUCAUAUCGACGGCGGUGUUUGGCACCUCGAUGUCGGCUCAUCACAUCCUGGGGCUGAAGUAGGUCCCAAGGGUAUGGCUGUUCGCCAUUUAAAGUGGUACGCGAGCUGGGUUUAGAACGUCGUGAGACAGUUCGGUCCCUAUCUGCCGUGGGCGCUGGAGAAUUGAGGGGGGCUGCUCCUAGUACGAGAGGACCGGAGUGGACGCAUCACUGGUGUUCGGGUUGUCAUGCCAAUGGCACUGCCCGGUAGCUAAAUGCGGAAGAGAUAAGUGCUGAAAGCAUCUAAGCACGAAACUUGCCCCGAGAUGAGUUCUCCCUGAGACUUUAAGUCUCCUGAAGGAACGUUGAAGACGACGACGUUGAUAGGCCGGGUGUGUAAGCGCAGCGAUGCGUUGAGCUAACCGGUACUAAUGAACCGUGAGGCUUAACCUU